ACAACUUAUGUUAUUUACUUUCUGUCGAAUAUCGUAUGAGAUCAGUCUUUCGGCAACCACCGAGUUGGAAACUUGAAAGAUCCCGUUUAAACAUACGUUUGUAAAUAGAUAGAUAUGUAUAUAUGUACAUAUGUACAUAACUAGACACAAUAUACACACCCACACACUCAUACACAAAGUAUAUAGUAGUCUUUCUCUUGGGUGUUGCUUGAGAUUUUAUUAUAUUGUAUAGACAGUAACGAGCAACCUUUGUUCUGCAAUGAGCCAAAAUUAAAUAUCUGAUAUUGUUAUUGAUAGAAUUCAUUAUGAACUAAAAAUGCUUAUAUUGAUUAAAAAAGGAAUUAAUGCUUGAUAGAAAAAGAAAAAAUUACACAUUAUUGAAGGGUAUUUGUUAUUUUCGGCAUCAAUUUACAAUGAAAUGUUUUCUAUAAUUCCAUUGAUUUUUUAUUAGCAAUACUUUUAAUGUGUACGCAUAUAUGUAUGUAUAUAUAUUUUUGUAAUGGAACGAAAUCUAUUAGUUGUUUAUUUUUAAUUAGAUAUAUGAUUCUACUUCUCGUUAAUAAACUUUACAUUAUUAUAUUGGAAGAUACAUUGGAAGAUAUUGAAAUAAACUCUAAUACAAUCUUUUAUUCGUUUGUCGUUAAAGUUACGAGUUUUGAUAAAUGAUUUCGAUACUUCGGUUAAUAGUUAAAAUGCGUUUCAACUGGCCGUAGAUAACAAAGCUCUUCACAAAUGUAUCAACGUAAGAUGUAAUACCAGUGAUUAAGAAAUUCACUAAUUAGAGUCGACUAUUGUCAUUUUUCGAUGCAAAAUGUAAGUUGUAAUUGCAUUGAUACGUACAUGAAUACGUAUAUGAUAAUGUUUUUUUAUAAACCCUGAGUUACUCAUUUCUGAUACAGAUUCAGAUAUAUACAGAUAUAUAUAUGUAUUAUAUAUUAUAUAUUAUAUAUAUAUAAAUAUAUAUACAGAGAGAGAAAGAGAGAGAGAGAGAAAGAAAAAGGGUAAAGGAAUCGAGAAUUUGAAUGAAACAAAGAACGAUAUCGAGAUUAAAUUGAAAAGAAACUUUGUUAGCUCUUGACAAAAAGGCAUUCGAUAAGGAAGCAUUAGUCGUCCAAAGUACAAUUAUAUCAAAAACCCAUUCAAACUAAAGAAGAUUACAUAUGUAUCUGAUUAUGAUACCUUAUAUUUCUUAUUAUUCAUUUAAAAGAAAAGAAAAAGAAAAAAAAACAGUUAAGAAAAAUAAGAAAGAAAUCUCAUCUUUAUUUCCCAAUAUCUUCAAUUAUGAUUGAUUUCUAAAUACAAUAAGGAUAAUGAUAACAAUAAUAACAACAACAAUAAUAUGAAGAAGAAGAAGAAGAAGAAUAAAGUAUCUUGGUAUAUUCAAUUUUGCUUUCUUGUUCUUAUGUAGUAUAUGUAUCUAGUACAAUGUAAAUUUUAAUGUGGGAUUUCAUUUAAACGUGUCAUUUAAUGCGUAUUAUGAUUAAUAUGUAUUAUUCAUACACAUAUGAAUGUAUGUAUAUUUAAAUGAAUAUAGAAUUCAUACCUCGUUGACAAAUUAAAUUUACAAUAUUGAAAUAAGGGUGUCACGAUCAGGUACACGCAUCACGUUCGAUCGUCGACGAUCUUUCUCUAUAUAAAAUAUAUCGAUACCAAACGAUAUUACAUUUGUUAAAAGGCAUGUACGUAUUACGUACAUACGCGUACACGUGCAUACAGAAAAAUUAAGAAAAAAAUAGCAAAAUAGAGCGAGGAAGAGAGAGAGAGAGAGAGAAAUGAAAGUUCAUUGUUUACGAGGAAGGACGUCUGUCCUAACGAACGAAGUUUUCGAUGAGGUCUCGUAUUUUUCUAUUCCUGUUGCUUUCUUUUAUUUUUUGAUUUUGAUUAUUUAACUAAUUAAAUUAUAAAAAUUUUAAUAUAUAUAUAUAUAAUAUUAUUACACUGAAAGAAAAAGAGAAUGUUUAUACCAUUUACUAGCUGACGUAUACAAAGCAAAUCUUAUUACAAUGUUUAUAUGUUUCUAUAUAAGCUGAAAUAUCUAAAUACAACUUAUGUUAUUUACUUUCUGUAGAAUAUCGUAUGAGAUCAGUGUUUCUGCAACCACCGAGGUGGAAUGUUGGAAGAUCCCAUAUAAACAUACAUUUGUAAAUAGAUACAUAUGUAUAUAUGUACAUAUGUACAUAACUACAUACAUAAUAUACUCACCCACACACACAUACACAAAGUAUAUAGUAGGCUUUCUCUUGGGUAUUGCUUGAGAUUUUCUUAUAUUGUAUGGACAGUAACGAGCAACCUUUGUUCUGCAAUGAGCCAAAAUUAAAUAUCUGAUAUUGUUAUUGAUACAUUAUGAACUAAAAAUGUUUAAAUUGAUUAAAAAGAAAUUAAUACUUGGUAGAAAAAGAAAAAAUUACACAUUAUUGAAGGGUAUUUGUUAUAUUCGGCAUCAAUUUACAAUGAAAUGUUUUCUAUAAUACCAUUGAUUUUUUAUUAGCAAUACUUUUAAUGUGUACGCAUAAAUGUAUGUAUAUAUAUUUUUGUAAUGGACCGAAAUCUAUUAGUUGUUUAUUUUUAAUUAGAUAUAUGAUUCUACUUCUCGAUAAUAAACUUUUCAUUAUUAUAUUGGAAGACACAAUGGAAGAUAUCGAAUUAAACUCUAAUACAAUCUUUUAUUCGUUUGUCGUUAACGUUAAGAAUUUUGAUAAAAGAUUUCAAUACUUCGGUUAAUAGUUAAAAUGCCUUUCAACUGGCCGUAGAUAACAAAGCUCUUCACAAAUGUAUCAACGUAAGAUGUAAUACCACUGAUUAAGAAAUUCACUAAUUAUAGUCGACUAUUGUCAUUUUUCGAUGCAAGAUGUAAGUCGUAUUUGCAUUGAUACGCAGAUGAAUACGUAUAUGAUAAUGUUUUUUAUAAACCCUGAGUUACUCAUUUCUGAUACAGAUUGAGAUAUAUACAGAUAUCUAUAUAUAUUAUAUAUUAUAUAUUAUAUAUAUAUAAAUAUAUAUACAGAGAGAGAAAGAGAGAGAGAGAGAAAGAAAAAGGGUAAAGGAAUCGAGAAUUUGAAUAAAACAAAGAACGAUAUCGAGAUUAAAUUGAAAAGAAACUUUGUUAGCUCUUGACAAAAAGGCAUUCGAUAAGGAAGCAUUAGGCGUCCAAAGUACAAUUAUAUCAAAAACCCAUUCAAAUUAAAGAAGAUUACAUAUGUAUCUGAUUAUGAUACCUUAUAUUUCUUAUUACUCAUAUAAAAGAAAAGAAGAAGAAAAAAAACAGUUAAGAAGAAUAAGAAAGAAAUCUCAUCUUUAUUUCCCAAUAUCUUCAAUUAUGAUUGAUUUCUAAAUACAAUAAGGAUAAUAAUAACAAUAAUGACAACAACAAUAAUAUGAAGAAGAAGAAGAAGAAUAAAGUAUCUUGGUAUAUUCAAUUUUGCUUACUUGUUCUUAUGUGGUAUAUGUAUCUAGUACAAU